rnacentral:lncRNA from 1 species
CAGUGAUGGUGAUAGGUCCAGUGUAGUUAUAAAGAGAGAUCCUUGUAGAAGAGACCGCUUCAACGAUGUCGAGAGGGACCUCUGACAGACCAAUGGAGUUAAACUUCGGUCUCUUUGUUCCUGUUCCACCAAGAAGGUUCUGAAAAUUCUCAUUGUCCAUCCUUAAACGAAGUCUUUUACCUCCUCGAGCAUCUCCUCCACCUCGUCUUUUACCCCCAUAUCCUCCUCGAGCAUCUCCUCCACCUCGUCUUUUACCCCCAUAU